AUAUGGGUCUUUUUACAGGAAUUGACUCUUUUGCCCUUGAUUUGCUGUUAUAAUUUCAGGUUUGUACUGCUUGCUGAGACGAUGUUGGCUGGGCAUAUGCGUCUUUAGGUAUGGGAAGAUGCCUCAGUGUUUCUGGAGGUUUCUUUAGAAAUUCCAAAUCGCUCUUGCUCUCACUCGAGUCAACAAAUUUCUCUCGGUCUCCUCUCACUUUAGCAAGGAAUGAUGCUCUCCAGAAGCAUAUGCUGAUCAGCAGAUACCGUUUAUCAGUAGCAGCAAGGUCAAUUGUAUUGCUCAUCUAUUCAGUCUGCUUUCAAGUAUGAAACAAACUAUUGCAAGAUACAACAAGUGUGACGAGUCUUCAGAGACCGCUUUGGUAGAAUCAAUGGCAGAGGGACUGUUCUGAUUCUUUUUUUGAGCUUGCCCUAUGUGCAGAAAAAUUGCAAGAGAUUUGACAGAAGCAUCAUUAUCAGGUGCAGGAUUGUGUACAGUAGCAGCUCUUGCCAUGAUGUUUUUAACUUGGAAUGAUAGGGAAAGCUUUUUUGAAGCGGCUGAAAGUGUUCCUGGGUUAAUGCCAUGGAGAUUGGUGAAUGAGAUUCAUUGAGCUGCUAUGCAGGCUCUUGAUGAGCUCGAGUUAGAGCGAGUUUUAGGAUGAUACUGAAUGUUGGAUUAGCUUGGCAGUAUUGGUGGUUUGGUGCAAGAGUAACUUUAUAUGUUCUUGCCUCUCUAUUCCAGACAUCAUUCGCCAUAUGUAUCAAUCAGUUCAAAAUCCCUCUGUGAAUUUCAGUAUUGGUGGAUAACAUCAGUCGCAUCAUGAAAAGGGAUCCCACUUCCAAUGUCAUGACCGAGACAGAAAUAGGAAGACUUUGAGAAAUACAAAGGAUGCUUAUGCAGAUUGCAGAUUAAAGUUUUGAGUUCUGAAAUUUUUUCUGAUGCAAAGACUAUUAAGGUCGCUUGAAUAUAUGACGAUACUUGGAGCGUCUGUCAAGGAUCUGAACCCAUGAAGUCAAGGUUGCUGUGUUGCCACUUUUGAGAGAUUCUAUUUGUUGCAAGUGCAGAGACAGAGACAGACUGUGAAAGAAAAAAAGGAGUGAUCGAUCUGGAUUUAUUUGACAAGAGGUGUAGAGAUAGAGAGAAAUUGUGAAAGCAGAAGAGGAGGAAUCGGUGUUGGAGAAGAGGCUUCAAACGUAGAAGACAGGACAUCAGUUGAUAGCAGCGCACCAGAAUCAGGACCAAACGAGCUUCUCAUCAACAGCCGAACCAAAGGAUGAUACCUUUGACAAUCUCAUGUAAAGUAACUGGUUUGAAGUAUAAAUGCAGAUUAUUUUGUUAAUAGCUAA